UAGGGAAUCUUCCGCAAUGGACGAAAGUCUGACGGAGCAACGCCGCGUGAGUGAUGAAGGUUUUCGGAUCGUAAAACUCUGUUGUUAGGGAAGAACAAGUAUCGGAGUAACUGCCGGUAUCUUGACGGUACCUAACCAGAAAGCCACGGCUAACUACGUGCCAGCAGCCGCGGUAAUACGUAGGUGGCAAGCGUUGUCCGGAAUUAUUGGGCGUAAAGCGCGCGCAGGUGGUUCCUUAAGUCUGAUGUGAAAGCCCACGGCUCAACCGUGGAGGGUCAUUGGCAACUGGGGAACUUGAGUGCAGAAGAGGAAAGUGGAAUUCCAAGUGUAGCGGUGAAAUGCGUAGAGAUUUGGAGGAACACCAGUGGCGAAGGCGACUUUCUGGUCUGUAGCUGACACUGGGGCGCGAAAGCGUGGGGAGCGAACAGG
rnacentral:rRNA from 1 species